rnacentral:lncRNA from 10 species
CCUCCAGGAAGCCUGUCCAGGUUGCUCCCACCCAUCCUGACAAUUAGGGACCAUGGCUCAGCCCAAUUCUGGUCAACAAACAUGUCCUGAGUAUUCACUCUGCUACAGAUGGGCGGGUCAACCAGGUCAACUCAGUGUCUGGGGUUUCCCAGUUUUGUAGGCUCACUUCCUGCUCAUUACUGGCCUUUCACUACGGUAGUUGUUAACCUUUUCUUGCAAAUCUCCUUUGAUGGGGAGUUUACCACCUCUUGAGGCCACACAGUUCAUGUUUGGAUAGCGCUGAUUGCCAAAGGCAUUCCUGACAUCCCAUCAAAAUCUGUCUCCAUGAAUUUUUUACCCACUCAUCUUUGAUUCAGUGGGUAAAAGCCAUAUCCAGAAGCCAUUUCCAGUAAAUCUAUCUCUGUCCUGUUCUUUUUUAAAGCAACAGACUUAAUUUUUUUUAGAGCAGUUUUAGGUUGAGCAGAAAGCACAAAGUUCUCAUAUACCCACUCUCUCACGUUUUCCCCUAUUAUUAAUAUCUUACAUUAGUAUGAUAUAUUUAUUACAUCCCAGUCCUAUUUUUACAGCCCUUCAGAUGUUACCUGCAACCACCCAAAAGCUGAAGAACCUCAGUGUCUUAGGGGUCUUGGUAUUUGGAUCUCUCCCCUUCCUUCACUAUCUCACCUGGUCAUACUUCUAGUGGUCACUGUGUCUCUGAAAUAAGUGAUCUGAGGUGGUCGGACCGGGGUACCAGGUAACAAGACUUGCAUUUGUGCUGCCUGAGAUUGAGUUGCCUUUUUCAGCAGCUGCAUUACACUGUGGGAUCACCUAGGGCUUGUGGUGAACUGAGAUCCCUGGGUCUUUUCCCUUUACUUCCUUUGUAUUUUCUUCAAACCAGUUGUAUACAUUUACUUUUUUAUUAUAAGAGUAAUAGGAUCACAUAAAAACUUUGGAAAAUAGGGGAAAAUAUCUCCCUAAUGCAACUGUUUAACCCUUUUUUUUUGAGACGGAGUCUCACUCUGUUGCCCAGGCUGGAGUGUAGGGGUGUGAUCUCGGCUCACUGCAACCUCCACUUCGCAGGUUCAAGUGAUUCUUGUGCCUCAGCCUCCAGAGUAGCUGGGAUUACAGGAGUGCACCACCACACCCAGCUAAUUUUUUGUAUUUUUAGUAGAGACUGGGUUUCACCAUGUUGCCCAGGCUGGUCUCAAACUCCUGGACUCAACUGAUCCGCCUGCCUCGGCCGCCCAACAUGUUGGGUUUACAAGUGUGAGCCACUGUGCCUGGCCCACAGCUGUUUUUGGUUUAUGUCCUCCCAUGUCUUUUCCACAUUAAUUACUUUGUUUAUCUAGUUGUAAUCAAGGGGCAUAUACAUUUUGGUGCCAAUUCGCAUCUUGCAUUUUUGCAGUGAAUUUUUGAACCUGAAUGGAAGAAUUUAUGUCCCUCCUUGAGGUAUUGCCUAAUACUGGUUUGGAACUCGGGCCUUCUCCACUUUGUGUAAUUCACACACUUGCAAAGCCAACUUUUUGUACUUCUUAGUCAUUACUGUCAGCGUUAAGACUGAGAUGAGGGCGGAGCCCUAUGUUGGCCCAUUAGAGAAUAUCUUCAGCUUAGCUGUUCCCUGAGCCAGGGAUCCUUUUAACUCUACUAUCCUCCAGCCCUGAGAGCAGGGACCGCUUUCCCAUCAGCCAACCUGAGGCCUGGUCUGUGGCUUCAUGUGGUCUUUUAUGGGACACGGCUUAGAACUUUCUAGUCGUCCUGUUAGAGCCAUUUAUUCAACCUGAAGAUAUUUCUUAUUUACAUAAUCAAAUUCUCUCUUUGUUCUAGCUAAGACUGUAUGUAUUUUGUGUUUGCUUAUUGCCAUGCCUCUGGGCAAUGACAGUGAGAUCUUGAUUCGACCUUGAAACCGUAGACCCUGAAUUAGAGGACAGCCUUACGCAUACUUGUUCUUUCUUCCUCAGUACCCUGAGAAUAGAAGCCUAGCCCUCCUGCAGCCCCUCACCCUUUCCCUCUCUGCAUUCCCAUCCAUUCACUUUAAUGAGCAUCUGUUUACAUUCCAUCCAUCUGCAUUCUAUGACGCGUGCUAAGCACCUCAGCCUGUUCUGUUUAUUCUGAAAGGUAUUUCCUCCAAAUAUUUUGAUUUUUUUUUCUCCCCUUGGAUCAAGAACUGGACAUUUGGAUCAGAGAACUGCAUAUACUUUUUUCUUUGGCUCCCUCCUAGAAAGACUUUCACUGAGUAAUACUUUGGCAUAUUGCCCCGGGCUUGCAUUGAAGGAAGUUAUAUAAGGAAGUUGUAUGAAACUCACUCUUGUGGCUGAGGACAGGAUGCAUGACAACACACAGUGCCGCUUUGAUGAGAAUUUAUCUCAGAACUUCCCCUUUGGAUGCUGUGAUUCUCCAGAGACUCUGAUUAGCUUUUAUAUUAUGUAGUUGCAAAUCUGGUAACUCAUGAUACUUCCUUUGCUUUGGUUGCUUGGAAGGCAGUAUCAAAUAUAUGGCCUACCUUAGGGACAGACUUUAUUUUCCUGUCCUGAUUUUUAAGUUUCCCUCAGGCAUUUAUUAUAUUCUAUUUUAUGUAAGCUGCCUCAAAUCCUUCUUGAAUGAGGUGAGCUUAUGGCAUCCUGUUGCCUUUAUUCUUGUAGACAACACCUUACAUUUACUCUUGCAGAUAUCUGGUUUCUUUUAAUCCCAGCCAGGUUGCUACAUUUAAUCUCUUGGGCAUUCUGUUACCACUGUUCAGUACCUAGGAUCAUUUCACCUGAGUUGGAGUGAGUGUCUUCAUGCUCCACCUGUCUUGGGGUCCAGGUGAAGAUGAUGGGAAACCUUACAAUUGCCUUUGUCCACAAUUAGUUUCUAUAACUGGCAACAGCCCUCCUUCUCCUUAAUGAGCUAGAUAGGACUGAAAAAGAGGGUGUUCUCUCUUGCUUGGACAGAAUUGAAACACUUCUGCCCAAAGAACAGAUUCAAAAUUGGGCCUUGCCGUCUCAUCAGUCCUUGAAAGAUUUCUGCUGUGGAGGAUCUGUUGUUUUUCAGUUUUUCUGUUCUGAGAAUGGAGGUGAGAGAGCAG